rnacentral:rRNA from 1 species
CCCGCACAAGCGGUGGAGCAUGUGGUUAAUUCGAAGCAACGCGAAGACCUUACCAGGUCUUGACAUCCCGAUGCUAUUCUAGAGAUAGAAAGUUACUUCGGUACAUCGGUGGCAGGUGGUGCAUGGUUGUCGUCAGCUCGUGUCGUGAGAUGUUGGGUUAAGUCCCGCAACGAGCGCAACCCCUAUUGUUAGUUGCCAUCAUUCAGUUGGGCACUCUAGCGAGACUGCCGGUAAUAAACCGGAGGAAGGUGGGGAUGACGUCAAAUCAUCAUGCCCCGUAUGACCUGGGCUACACACGUGCUACAAUGGUUGGUACAACGAGUUGCGAGUCGGUGACGGCGAGCUAAUCUCUUAAAGCCAAUCUCAGUUCGGAUUGUAGGCUGCAACUCGCCUACAUGAAGUCGGAAUCGCUAGUAAUCGCGGAUCAGCACGCCCGCGGUCGAAUACGUUCCGGGCCUU